AUAUAGAAAUUUUCGGAUUUUGUUCACCGGAUAGUAGUUACAUAGCCAAUUGUGGAACUUUCUUGCUAAAAUUUUUCAAUUUAUAUAAUCUUUACGGAUUAUAUAUUUGUUUUAUUAUAACGAUUAUCAAUUAACAAUCAAUUCAGAACUGGCACGGACUUGGGGAAUCCGACUGUCUAAUUAAAACAAAGCAUUGUGAUGGCCCUAGCGGGUGUUGACACAAUGUGAUUUCUGCCCAGUGCUCUGAAUGUCAAAGUGAAGAAAUUCAAGUAAGCGCGGGUAAACGGCGGGAGUAACUAUGACUCUCUUAAGGUAGCCAAAUGCCUCGUCAUCUAAUUAGUGACGCGCAUGAAUGGAUUAACGAGAUUCCUUCUGUCCCUAUCUACUAUCUAGCGAAACCACAGCCAAGGGAACGGGCUUGGAAUAAUUAGCGGGGAAAGAAGACCCUAUUGAGCUUGACUCUAAUCUGGCAGUGUAAGGAGACAUAAGAGGUGUAGAAUAAGUGGGAGAUAUUUAGAAAUUUAUUUUUAUUUAUCGUCAAUGAAAUACCACUACUCUUAUUGUUUCCUUACUUACUUGAUUAAAUGGAACGUGUAUCAUUGCUUAGCCAUAUUAAGGAUCUAUUUUUAAUAGAUCUUAUGGUAUUGGGUCUUGAUGCAAGCUUCUUGAUCAAAGUAUCACGAGUUUGUUAUAUAAUUGUAAACAAAAUUUAAUGAAAAUAAUUUUGUAUUCAUAUACAAUUUUUAUUGUUAAUUAAAAUUUGGUAUAACUCCAACACUCAGGUAUGAUCCAAUUCAAGGACAUUGCCAGGUGGGGAGUUCGACUGGGGCGGUACAUCUCUCAAAUAAUAACGG
rnacentral:rRNA from 1 species